CCUACGGGGGGCAGCAGUCGAGAAUCAUUCACAAUGGGGGAAACCCUGAUGGUGCGACGCCGCGUGGGGGACUGAAGGUCUUCGGAUUGUAAACCCCUGUCAUGUGGGAGCAAAUUAAAAAGAUAGUACCACAAGAGGAAGAGACGGCUAACUCUGUGCCAGCAGCCGCGGUAAUACAGAGGUCUCAAGCGUUGUUCGGAAUCACUGGGCGUAAAGCGUGCGUAGGCUGUUUCGUAAGUCGUGUGUGAAAGGCGCGGACUCAACCCGCGGACGGCACAUGAUACUGCGAGACUAGAGUAAUGGAGGGGGAACCGGAAUGCUCGGUGUAGCAGUGAAAUGCGUAGAUAUCGAGAGGAACACUCGUGGCGAAGGCGGGUUCCUGGACAUCAACUGACGCUGAGGCACGAAGGCCAGGGGAGCGAAAGGGAUUAGAUACCCUUGUAGUC
rnacentral:rRNA from 1 species